rnacentral:rRNA from 1 species
GUGGGGAAUCUUCCGCAAUGGACGAAAGUCUGACGGAGCAACGCCGCGUGAGUGAUGAAGGUCUUCGGAUUGUAAAGCUCUGUUAAUCGGGACGAAAGAGCCUAGUGUGAAUAAUGCUAGGAAGUGACGGUACCGGAAUAGAAAGCCACGGCUAACUACGUGCCAGCAGCCGCGGUAAUACGUAGGUGGCAAGCGUUGUCCGGAAUUAUUGGGCGUAAAGCGCGCGCAGGCGGAUCUGCCAGUCUGUCUUAAAAGUUCGGGGCUUAACCCCGUGAUGGGAUGGAAACUACAGAUCUAGAGUAUCGGGGAGGAAAGUGGAAUUCCUAGUGUAGCGGUGAAAUGCGUAGAUAUUAGGAAGAACACCAGUGGCGAAGGCGAUUUUCUGGACGAAAACUGACGCUGAGGCGCGAAAGCCAGGGGAGCGAACGGGAUUAGAAACCCCUGUAGUCC